UACGUAGGGGGCAAGCGUUGUCCGGAAUUAUUGGGCGUAAAGAGCGUGUAGGCGGCCCGAUUAGUCCGCUGUGAAAGUCCAGGGCUCAACCCUGGGAUGCCGGUGGAUACUGUCGAGCUCGAGUCCGGAAGAGGCGAGUGGAAUUCCUGGUGUAGCGGUGAAAUGCGCAGAUAUCAGGAGGAACACCAAUGGCGAAGGCAGCUCGCUGGGACGUGACUGACGCUGAGACGCGAAAGCGUGGGGAGCGAACAGG
rnacentral:rRNA from 1 species